ensembl:miRNA dre-mir-429 microRNA 429
CUUGUUGAUGGACGUCUUACCAGACAUGGUUAGAUGUAAUAACUUGUGUCUAAUACUGUCUGGUAAUGCCGUCCAUCACAUG